rnacentral:lncRNA from 1 species
UAUUUAUAAUGUUAGUUGAUACAUAUAAUGUUACUGGAUAAUGGUAAUAUCGGUACAUAGUUUCUGAUCUGUUACAAAUAUGUAGUUAUCGGUUGAUACAUUUUAGGCUAGCUGUUACAAAACAUUUUAUGCCCCUUAAUCCCUAGUUUUCCAUUAAAAUCUUCAUCCACGUAGAAUCUGUUUGUCUAACGCAUGUUACAACAAAAA